UGGUUACUCUCCCAGAGCCCUCAUGGGCCAUAACCCUUUCCUUUCCUCUGGUUCUCUCUCCUCCUGUCUCCUGUGGCUCCACAGCUGAGUUCAGCAUCUCCGGAAGAGAAAAAUAAGAUUCUAAUACUGAAGGCCAUGUUCCAUCCCCUUUCUCUGCAAAAAACCAGGUCCUAGGGGGAAGCCAUUCCUUCUUCAUCUUGGCCAUGAUAUCUCCUGGUGGCAGUAGAGCAAUGAAGGAAUAAUAAAGUGGAGGAAUUCCAUGGAGACUGGAACAACCUCCAGGAUGUGAUGCAGAGCGAAAGAAGCAGAACCAGGAAAAAUUAUACACAGAGAUGGAUACACAGUGGUACAAUCAAAUGUAAUGGACUUCUCCAUUAGUGUCAAUGCAGUCCCUGAACAAUCUGCAGGGAUCUAAGAGAAAAAAACACUAUCCACAA